rnacentral:tRNA from 1 species
GAGCCAUUAGCUCAGCUGGUAGAGCAUCUGCCUUUUAAUCAGAGGGUCAGAGGUUCGAAUCCUCUAUGGCUCA